UAGUGAUUAUAGCUCCUUUAGAAUUUUGUCUAAUAGGUUUUCUGACUUUGGUAGGAAAACAAAA